GACGAACGCUGGCGGCGUGCUUAACACAUGCAAGUCGAACGGAAAGGCCCUGCUUUUGUGGGGUGCUCGAGUGGCGAACGGGUGAGUAACACGUGAGUAACCUGCCCUUGACUUUGGGAUAACUUCAGGAAACUGGGGCUAAUACCGGAUAGGAGCUCCUGCUGCAUGGUGGGGGUUGGAAAGUUUCGGCGGUUGGGGAUGGACUCGCGGCUUAUCAGCUUGUUGGUGGGGUAGUGGCUUACCAAGGCUUUGACGGGUAGCCGGCCUGAGAGGGUGACCGGCAGCAUGGGGAGGGAGAGACGGACCAGAGUCCUCCGGGAGGCAGCAGGGGGGGAGAGUGCAGAGUGGGCGGAAGAAGGAUGCAGCAACGACGCGGGGGGGAUGACGGCCGUCGGGGGGUAAACCGCUGUCGCCUGUGAAGAAGAGGGAGUGACGGUAAUGGGGAAAGAAGCACCGGCUAACUACGUG
rnacentral:rRNA from 1 species